rnacentral:rRNA from 1 species
GUGGGGAAUUUUGCGCAAUGGGCGAAAGCCUGACGCAGCAACGCCGCGUGCGGGAUGACGGCCUUCGGGUUGUAAACCGCUUUCAGUGGGAAAGAUAAUGACGGUACCCACACAAGAAGCUCCGGCUAAAUACGUGCCAGCAGCCGCGGUAAUACGUAUGGAGCAAGCGUUAUCCGGAUUUAUUGGGCGUAAAGCGCGCGUAGGCGGCUUGUUAAGCAAGGUCUUAAAUCUUGGGGCUCAACCUCAAGCCGGAUCUUGAACUGGCAGGCUCGAGUAUGGUAGAGGAAAGUGGAAUUCCCAGUGUAGCGGUGGAAUGCGCAGAUAUUGGGAAGAACACCGAUGGCGAAGGCAGCUUUCUGGGCCAUUACUGACGCUGAGGUGCGAAAGCUAGGGGAGCAAACAGGA